rnacentral:misc_RNA from 1 species
AUGUAUAAAUAAGGGAAACUUAAUAUAAUUAAACAUUAAACAAAUCAUUAGUGCUCCAUUAACUAUAUUAUAAACUACAUAAAAUAAACCUUAGUGGGCAGAAUUGGGUCAUCUUCAACCUUGGGAGAAGCUUGCCGAAUUGAUCCUCUCAAAGUCCUCCAUGGCCACCAUGCAUGAAGCUAUGAAGCUUUCUCUCUCCAUUAUCAAGCCCUCACUUUCCACUUCUUUCCUUCAUUAA